AUAAAUGUUCCUUUUCUUUGUAAAAAUACAAUUUAUUUUUGGAUAUUUAAUUUUUUUUUGUAAAAAAGAAAGCCCAUGGGCUGGCCCUAACCCACAGGGUUUUGGGGCUUUUUAGCCCUGGGGGCUUUUUCAAUAAAGGUCUUUUUUGGCCCUAGGGGCUUUUUUGGCCCCAACCCACAUGGGUUAGGGCCAGGGCCUAUUAGAGGGCCUAAUUGACAACUCUAAGCAGAGGGUUCACUUGUUCAGCUGACAGCAAAGGGGAGUGUGAGAAAAGCAAGCUGGACUUCACGGCCCACAAGCAUGCAACUGCUAUGGAAGGCAUGGCCAAGGCUUCUAACUAUUAGAAGAAUUUACAGCUGAAUCACUUGGGCUACACAUUGAACAUGUGUCACGGCCUUGCACAACUUUGCAGCAUCCAACAAGCAUCCUUCCAGCCAUACCACGGUCCAGCAACCCACCAAUUCUCCAUCCAGCAACACGCUCAGAUGCACAUCAAAUGGUCCAGCGUUGAAGAACGUCCUGCAGCAAAAGAAGUAUAACACGGUCAAAAGGUAUUAAACGCUGCAGCUGCUGACUUUAUUUGGUUUGGAGAAUUAAAAGCAAGCGGGAAGUGCUUGAAGUAAAGCAACAUCCACAAGAGGUUCUCGAUCCAGGACUUCAUGCGUCCAAGCAUCAACGUCCAGCCUCCACAUGGACAGCACCGGUUCAGCAACAUCUUGAAGCAUCCAGCAUUCUUCAUCCACGCUGCAGCAGGCCACACCUCACGGAUAGCCCAGUAAUGACGUUCAGGUAUCAUGUGUCCUGCAGCCUUCAUCACACUCCACGCUGGUGCACACCCAUAAACACCACAGCCCAUCUAUUAAUAGCACCCGUCCAGCUUUCAAGCACGGUAGCUUCCAUUCCACACGGCCCAGCUUGAAAUUGGUCACGGCCUGGCAGAAUUAGACAGCAGCUACAGCAUUCACGCGAAGGAAGAAGCUUCACGGACAACAGCUUGGGAACGUCCAAGGCCUGCAACCUAUCCAUCUUCACGGCCUGCGGCUCCUUGAGGAAAUGCAACGGCCCAUGCAGCAACACAUGAAAAAGUUAUUUGGUUCAACAAGGAGCUCAUGUUCACGUGACACUAGCAGUUGAUCCAAAGAAAAAUAAGCUAGCAGUCGGCCUAGCAUCUACAUGCUUCCAGCAGCACUUCAACGUGUCACAACUUGGGCUGGAAUAUUAGAGCAGUUUCAGUCCAUGUGCAAAGGAUGGAGGUGCAAAGAGGAGCCACGGGUAGGUCCAACAUCCAGAAGCACGAAGGGCAGCAACACGGGAAGGAGGAAAAAUGAAUCCCUUCAUAUUUUAGCUAGGGAGCCGCCACUCAAAAAGGAGGUCUUUCACUUGUUUUAGAGAGACACGAAUAUUGAAGAGAUGGGAGGUUACGACUAGAGUUGUUAGUAUUUAAAGGUUGUGAAAGGAGUAGUUGAUAAGGUAGAGAAAAUGUAGAGAUAGUAGGAUGUAGAAGUAGUAGUUGGAAGAAGUGUAGUAGUUGUCUUAGUUGUUGUAGAUGUUGGCUUCUU
rnacentral:lncRNA from 1 species